rnacentral:rRNA from 1 species
AUUGAACGCUGGCGGCAGGCCUAACACAUGCAAGUCGAACGAGUGGCGGACGGGUGAGUAAUGUCUGGGAAACUGUCCGUUGGAGGGGGAUAACUACUGGAAACGGUAGCUAAUACCGCAUACCAUCGGAUGUGCGCAGAUGGGAUUAGCUAGUAGGUGGGGUAACGGCUCACCUAGGCGACGAUCCCUAGCUGGUCUGAGAGGAUGACCAGCCACACUGGGACUGAGACACGGUCCAGACUCCUACGGGAGGCAGCAGUAGGGAAUAUUGCACAAUGGGCGAAAGCCUGAUGCAGCAAUGCCGCGUGUAUGAAGAAGGCCUUCGGGUUGUAAAGUACUUUCAGCAAGGAGGCGUUACUCGCAGAAGAAGCACCGGCUAACUACGUGCCAGCCGCCGCGGUAAUUC